UAGGAAGGGCUUAGCUUAAUUAAAGUAUUUGAUUUGCAUUCAAUUGAUGUAAGAUAGAUUCUUGCAGUC
rnacentral:tRNA from 1 species